rnacentral:sRNA from 1 species
UGUGUGUGUAUGCAACUCGGGGAAGCUCCUCUAGCCUUCCCUCCGGGCUUUUCUUUCCUGAUGGAGGUCCAGAUCAGCACCAACCUGACGAAUCUGUGAGCAUUGAACUGUGACAGUGAGGCCACCACCGCAGCCUGGGGGCAACAUGCUUGAUUGCAUGCCAGGCAGGACUCAGGAGAAUUUACCAACUUUUUUUUCCUCUAAGAGAAAAAACUGGACAAUAACUAGUGCAGGUGUAAUCUUUUGCGUUGUGAUGAAAUCCUAUUAUGGGGAGCGUUACCUUCUGGUGCCAGCUGUGAGGACAAGUCAGCUGCCAGAGGGCUGGCCCAGGAGGCUGAGGAGGGCCUCUUCAGAUACAUGUUCCGGCCAUCCCAGCAUACACGCAGCCGCCAGGUGACUUCAGCCCAGCUGUGGUUCCACACCGGGCUGGACAGGCAGGGCACAGCAGCCUCCAAUAGCUCUGAGCCCCUGCUAGGCCUGCUGGCACUGUCACCGGGAGGACCUGUGGCUGUGCCCAUGUCUUUGGGCCAUGCUCCCCCUCGCUGGGCCGUGCUGCACCUGGCCACCUCUGCUCUCUCUCUGCUGACCCACCCCGUCCUGGUGCUGCUGCUGCACUGUCCCCUCUGUACCUGCUCAGCCCGGCCUG